UACGUAGGUGGCAAGCGUUGUCCGGAUUUACUGGGCGUAAAGAGCGCGCAGGCGGUCGUUCAAGUCGCGUGUGAAAAGCCCCCGGCUCAACUGGGGAGGGUCACGCGAUACUGAUCGACUCGAAGGCAGGAGAGGGAAGGUGGAAUUCCCGGUGUAGUGGUGAAAUGCGUAGAUAAUCGGGAGGAACACCAGUGGCGAAGGCGACUUCCUGGC
rnacentral:rRNA from 1 species